rnacentral:rRNA from 1 species
GACGAACGCUGGCGGCGUGCUUAACACAUGCAAGUCGAACGAAGUGGCGAACGGGUGAGUAACGCGUAAUCAACCUGCCCUUCAGAGGGGGACAACAGUUGGAAACGACUGCUAAUACCGCAUACGGAAGGAGGGGAUGGCGUCGGAUUAGCUAGUGGGAGGGGUAACGGCCCACAAAGGCGAUGAUCAGUAGCCGGCCUGGGAGUAUGAACGGCCACAUUGGGACUGAGACACGGCCCAGACUCCUACGGGAUGCAGCAGUGGGGAAACUUCCGCAAUGGACGAAAGUCUGACGGCGCAACGCCGCGUUAGUGAUGACUGCCUUCGGGUUGUAAAGCUCUGUUAAUCGGGACGCGGUACCGGAAUAGAAAGCCACGGCUAACUACGUGCCAGCAGCCGCGGUAAUUC